rnacentral:rRNA from 1 species
UACGGAGGGGGCUAGCGUUGUUCGGAAUUACUGGGCGUAAAGCGCGCGUAGGCGGACCUGCAAGUCGGGGGUGAAAGCCCGAGGCUCAACCUCGGAACUGCCUUCGAUACUGCGGGUCUCGAGUCCGGGAGAGGUGAGUGGAAUUCCUAGUGUAGAGGUGAAAUUCGUAAAUAUUAGGAAGAACACCAGUGGCGAAGGCGGCUCACUGGCCCGGUACUGACGCUGAGGCGCGAAAGCGUGGGGAGCAAACAGG